rnacentral:rRNA from 1 species
GCCGCGAGGCAGAGCGAACCCCAAAAAGCCGUCUCAGUUCGGAUCGCAGGCUGCAACCCGCCUGCGUGAAGUCGGAAUCGCUAGUAAUCGCGGAUCAGCAUGCCGUGGUGAAUACGUUCCCGGGCCUUGUACACACCGCCCGUCACACCAUGAGAGUCGGGAACACCCGAAGUCCGUAGCCUAACCGCAAGGGGGGCGCGGCCGAAGGUGGGUUCGAUAAUUGGGGUGAAGUCGUAACAAGGUACC